rnacentral:tRNA from 6 species
GUCCUGGUAGCUCAGCUGGAUAGAGCAAUGGCCUUCUAAGCCAUCGGUCGGGGGUUCGAAUCCCUCCUAGGACG